GUCAGGAUGGCCGAGUGGUCUAAGGCGCCAGACUCAAGUUCUGGUCUCCCGCAGGAGGCGUGGUUCAAAUCCCACUCCUGACA